GAUGAAGAACUUAGCGAAAUGCGAUAAGUAAUGUGAAUUGCAGAAUUCAGUGAAUCAUCGAAUCUUUGAACGCACAUUGCGCCCGCCAGUAUUCUGGCGGGCAUGCCUGUUCGAGCGUCAUUACAACCCUCAGGCCCCCGGGCCUGGCGUUGGGGAUCGGCGGAGCCCCCCGUGGGCACACGCCGUCCCCCAAAUACAGUGGCGGUCCCGCCGCAGCUUCCAUCGCGUAGUAGCUAACACCUCGCGACUGGAGAGCGGCGCGGCCACGCCGUAAAACACCCAACUCUUCUGAAGUUGACCUCGAAUCAGGUAGGAAUACCCGCUGAACUUAAGCAUAUCAAUAAGCGGAGGA
rnacentral:misc_RNA from 1 species